CCUACGGGUGGCAGCAGUAAGGGAUAUUGGUCAAUGGGGGAAACCCUGAACCAGCAACGCCGCGUGAGGGAAGACGGGUUUCGGAUUGUAAACCUCUGUCCUCGGGGAAGAUGAUGACGGUAGCAGAGGAGGAAGCUCCGGCUAACUACGUGCCAGCAGCCGCGGUAAUACGUAGGGAGCGAGCGUUGUCCGGAUUUACUGGGUGUAAAGGGAGCGUAGGCGGGAUGGCAAGUUGGGUGUUAAAUCUACCGGCUCAACUGGUAGUCGCACUCCAAACUGCUAUUCUUGAGUGAAGUAGAGGCAGGCGGAAUUCCUAGUGUAGCGGUGAAAUGCGUAGAUAUUAGGAGGAACACCAGUGGCGAAGGCGGCCUGCUGGGCUUUUACUGACGCUGAGGCUCGAAAGUGUGGGGAGCAAACAGGAUUGGAUACCCCUGUAGUC
rnacentral:rRNA from 1 species